AUUGAACGCUGGCGGCAGGCUUAACACAUGCAAGUCGAACGAGGGGGGGAGGGGGGAUAAAGGUUGGGGAAUCUGGCUUAGGGAGGGGAAAAACAACGGGAAACGGUGGCUAAAACCGCGAACAAUGGGAGGAGCCAAGGUGGGAUUAGGUAGUUGGUGGGGUAAGGGCUCACAAAGCCGACGAUCUCUAGCUGGUCUGAGAGGAUGACCAGCCACACUGGGACUGAGCCACGGCCCAGACUCCUACGGGAGGCAGCAGUGGGGAAUAUUGCGCAAUGGGGGCAACCUGACGCAGCCAUGCCGCGUGAAUGAAGAAGGCCUUCGGGUUGUAAAGUUCUUUCGGUAGCGAGGCGUUAACUACAGAAGAAGCACCGGCUAACUCCGUGCCAGCAGCCGCGGUAAUUC
rnacentral:rRNA from 1 species